rnacentral:rRNA from 1 species
UACGUAGGGGGCAAGCGUUGUCCGGAUUUAUUGGGCGUAAAGCGCUCGCAGGCGGCUCGAUGCGUCGUGCGUGAAACACCCCGGCUCAACUGGGGAGGGUCGUGCGAUACGGUCGGGCUGGAGGCCAGUAGGGGGAUGCGGAAUUCCGGGUGUAGUGGUGGAAUGCGUAGAGAUCCGGAGGAACACCAGCGGCGAAGGCGGCAUCCUGGACUGGUACUGACGCUCAUGAGCGAAAGCGUGGGGAGCGAGCCGG